rfam:Aedes albopictus isolate Foshan contig137353, whole genome shotgun sequence.
UGUUUUGUAGCUUAGUUGGGUAAAGCGCCGGUCUAGCGAAUAUGGAGCCGUGGGUUCGAUUCCCACCAGAACGC